GGAAGAACAAGUACCGUUCGAAUAGGGCGGUACCUUGACGGUACCUAACCAGAAAGCCACGGCUAACUACGUGCCAGCAGCCGCGGUAAUACGUAGGUGGCAAGCGUUGUCCGGAAUUAUUGGGCGUAAAGGGCUCGCAGGCGGUUUCUUAAGUCUGAUGUGAAAGCCCCCGGCUCAACCGGGGAGGGUCAUUGGAAACUGGGGAACUUGAGUGCAGAAGAGGAGAGUGGAAUUCCACGUGUAGCGGUGAAAUGCGUAGAGAUGUGGAGGAACACCAGUGGCGAAGGCGACUCUCUGGUCUGUAACUGACGCUGAGGAG
rnacentral:rRNA from 1 species